AUCCAGUUGACGAGUCCCAAACAGGAUGAAAUGCACAUCCUGGAU
rnacentral:hammerhead_ribozyme from 1 species